GGCUGAAAAAAAUCAGAGGGAGAGAUGAGAGGAGGAGGUGUUACAAUGUGUGUUCGCAUUACAGUCGUGUGUAUGGAUUUGCUCACGUG